rfam:Haemonchus contortus, ISE/inbred ISE, WGS project CAVP01000000 data, contig: Hcontortus_15700
GGCCGCAUGGCGCAAUGUAUAACGCGUCUGCCUACGGAGCAGAAGAUUGCAGGUUCGAAUCCUGCCGUGAUCG